GAUGAAGAACGCAGCGAAAUGCGAUACGUAAUGGGAAUUGCAGAAUUCAGUGAAUCAUCGAAUCUUUGAACGCAUAUUGCGCUCUCUGGUAUUCCGGAGAGCAUGCUUGUUUGAGUAUCAGUAAACACCUCAACUCCCUUUUCUUUUUUGAAAUUGGAGCUGGACUUGAGUGAUCCCAACGCUUUCUUCCAAGAAAGUGGCGGGUUGCUUGAAAUGCAGGUGCAGCUGAACUUUUCUCUGAGCUAUAAGCAUAUCUAUUUAGUCUGCCUAAAAAACAGAUUAUUACCUUUGCUGCAGCUAACAUAAAGGAGACUAGUUCUUGUGCUGACUGAUGCAGGAUUCACAGAGACAGCUUCGGCUGACUUUGUAAACUCGAUCUCAAAUCAAGUAAGACUACCCGCUGAACUUAAGCAUAUCAAUAAGCGGAGGA
rnacentral:misc_RNA from 1 species